GACGUAGGGCGCGAGCGUUGUCCGGAUUUAUUGGGCGUAAAGAGCUCGUAGGCGGCUUGUCGCGUCGUUCGUGAAAACCCGGGGCUCAACUCCGGGCUUGCGGGCGAUACGGGCAGGCUAGAGUUCGGUAGGGGAGACUGGAAUUCCUGGUGUAGCGGUGAAAUGCGCAGAUAUCAGGAGGAACACCGAUGGCGAAGGCAGGUCUCUGGGCCGAUACUGACGCUGAGGAGCGAAAGCGUGGGAGCGAACAGG
rnacentral:rRNA from 1 species